rnacentral:lncRNA from 1 species
CCAUUGUAACAGUAGUUUUCAAACUACAUUCUAUGGAAUUUGAAAGGUUGCUUGGAGCUACUCAGGAAUCUUGAGAAAAGCAGACUAUGAGAACACAGAGCUCCAGAAUCCUUCAGCCCCACUUUUUAACUUUAACUUCACUUAUCCAAGUAAAACUGUCAACAGUGCACUCCACAUGAUUCAACUUCUGUCCCUUCCUGUUCCUCUUUUCACUUUCUGUAUUAUCCAAGGCCUGAUGGAUCUCUUACCAACAAAGAUCGUUCUAUGGGCAGAAUACAAGAUCUCAGGUAUGUAACUCCUACCAGUCUCUUGACUUGGACUGAUAAUUCUGUGAGAUUCUCAAUCUUUUGGUCUUCAAGCUAGGAAUUUUCUGCCUGCCUAUUCCUGGCACUCUUUUGCAAGCUCUUUGUAAAAGGACUGGCCUUUACUGACAGGUAAACUGGGGCCUUAGUUGAGGGAGGGACAAAGAGGCUACAAAACACAAGACUAUACUGAUUCUUCAUACUCUAGUCUUCUUGUUCACUCUGCUAUUCUCUCCAGAUAAAUUCUGGAACUGACCAAAGAUUGGUCCGAUAUUUACGCUAUUUUAGAAAGAAAAAAACGUUCAGAAGUGGAGACAAGGGCAGCCUGGGUGGCUCAGUGGUUUAGCGCCGCUUUCAGCCCAGGGCCUGAUCCUGGAGACCCAGGAUGGAGUCCCCCGUCAGGCUCCCUGCAUGGAGCCUGCUUCUCCCUGUGCCUGUGUCUCUGCCUCUCUCUCUCUCUCUGUGUGUCUCUCAUGAAUAAAUAAAUAAAAGCUUAAAAAAAAAAAAAAAAAAAGAAGUGGAGAUAAAAGUAACUUGUCAAUUGGGAAAGCUUCUAUAUAGCUUUUCCUAGUCAGGUAUCAACGGGGGUUUCCUGAAUCACUGAUGCCACCUGGUGGGCAGCAUGAUUCAUUAUCAAAACCCACACAUUUAAUAUGACUUGUAUUUAAUUAUAACAAAUAAUUCACAAACUUGUGGCAAUGUGGGUUGGAAAAGUUGACUACACUAAUCUUCCAAUAUUUUUUGUUAAAUAACCAAUUUAUCAUUUCUGAGGAAAAUAUACUAUCAAAGGAAACUUUGAUAUAAAAGUUUGAUAUAAAAGCCAAACUUUUCUCACUCCCUCUCCAAAAUUUCACCUUUCCCUUUUAUUACCCUCA